UGAAGCCACACAAAUAUUGUGAAAUAAUGUUAGAAAAAUUACUUCUACAGGUAUGAGUGUAAGGGGUUCUUUAGUAUAAAAGGUGAUUAAUUUGUUGCCAGACCAGCAUUUGGAGUCUUGUGUAGUGCUAGUAUCUGGGGGUGGUACUGGGUGUUUUUCUUCAACCAGUACUGUUUCUAGCAUUUUCAGUGCAGACUUGAUGAAAGGGAGGUAACUUUGACACCAUGCUUAAAUAGCUGAAUGUGUUAUUGUCUCCCUUGUCAAGUUAAGCUAUAUUACACAAUAUUUUAGAGAGUAAAAUUGUUAUUUAUAAUGAUGAUUAUAACACUUGAGAUAUAACAUUAACUCAUUACUCUUUUUAAUUUGUCAUUUUCUCAAUUAAGUUUUUCAUAGUAAAAGAUAUUUUAUAAUAAAUUUGACUUCUUGGUUUUCUAUGGAGAGUUAUGUCCCUUUCAUAUCAUAGUUACUGGCCUACGCUGUGCUAUUUUCAAAACUUACAUAUGUGAGUUUUGUCUCAUUAUAUACAUAUAUUAUGUGUUUUUCUAUGUGUGUACAUAGUGUGUAUAUAGAUAUUAAAAAAACUUGUACAUAUUGUAUAUAAAUUAUUACCAAAAAAUAAUAAAUCAUGAGUGAAACAUUAUUGUUUACUGAGCAAAGUGCUGCAACUGUUUUUCCGAAAGUCUCAGUUGAUUUGAUUUAUAUUAAGUCUUCUUGUCUGUCAGCAUAUUGUGUACAUGUAUAUAUAUUGAAUGUGUUGAUACAUGAAAUGAUACAGCUCUGUAUCUCUAAAAAAAAUCAAGUUUUUAUCUAUUUCUACACAUAUUGUGUAAAUUCAUGUGUGCCAUUUUUUUGGAAUUUAAUUUUUUAUAGAAAAUAAGAAUAUAUUUGAUGUGAAGACAAACAAUCACUAGUGGCAUUAUCAAAGAAUCUCAUUUUGUUGUAAAAUCUGAUGUUUCAAUGAAUGAAUAGAAUAUAAAUAUAAUCAUUAAAGUCAUAUCUAGUGUGAAAUAAGGUCAACAAAUUUGGUCACAUAAAGUGUGAAACUAGGUCAAAGAAUUAGGUCACAUUAAGUGUGAAACUAGGUCAAAGAAUAAGGUCAUAUCAAGUUUGAAACUAGGUAAAGGAAUAAGGUCACAUCAAGUGUGAAACUAGGUCAAAGAAUUAUGUAACAUUAAGAGUUAAACUAGGUCAAAUAAUUAGGUCACAUCUAGUGUUAAACUAGGUUAGAAAAUAGGUCAAAACUGGUGUGAAACUUGGUCUAAGAAUUAGGUCACAACAAAAGGCAACCAUAGUUAGUUGUUGCGAAUGAGUCUUUAAAACUGAAGUUCACUAUAUAUCUUUUUAAUUCAUUAAAUUUAAAUUUUACCACCUUAAUGGCUGAGUUGUCCAAUGAAAUGGAAAAAGAGUUGUUAUUGCCUUCUUAGAAGUUAAAAGAAAUAAAUUUCUUCAAAGACAAUUUUAAUUAUUUUUUAACACAGGGAGUAUGUAGUGAGGUAAGUAAUAUUUGAAGGAGGAAUUGACCUACUAUUAAAUCCUAUAUUUAAACACAUUUCAUUAUUUUCAAUACAUAUUAACUGUAAGAUUAAUUAAAAUGUGUAAAAUUUCUCCUACGUUGUAUUUGAGAUGUAUUGCUUAAAUCUAAAUUCCAUAAAUGAUAUUUAAUUAAUUCUGUAUUUUUUCGUCUGAAAGGACUGGGAAGUUGUUAUUUAUCAAGGGUAUGUUGCAUGGAAUUGAACUGACUUGCAUGAUUUAAUGCAUUGAAUAGGUGAUAAAAUUACUGAUUUUAAUUGUUGGGUUGAAAAUGAAAGCAGAUGUUGUGUUGAAAAUGAAAGCAGAUGUUGUGUUGACUGUUUCAUGAGCAAUGUUGUGUUAAUUAUAUAAACAUGAUUUGAAUAUGUUUACUACUACUAGCAGAUGUUGAGUACUUGUUGAACAUUGUUGUAUAUAUGAGACCAAAAAUGUUGUGUGAAUGUUGAAAAUUUUCUUGUAAAUGAACUUGUAUGUAUGCAUUUUGUGUGGGUUAUGAAAAUCAUUGUGUUGACGAGUAAAAGGAAGUAUGAAUGUUGUGUUGUUGAUGAUGAAAAUUGCUGUGUAAUUGACUGAAAACAUCUAUAGAUGUUGUGUGGAUCUAAAAGUGUUGUAUACAUGACCAAAAAUAUCAGGUAGGUAAUUUUGAAAAGUGCUACAUGACAUACUAUCCAUUUAAUAGAAGAUAUAUUGUAAUGGAAAAAUUUUGAUUUCAAGUUUUUUCAAUGAAUUUUUUAAUGGUUUUGAAAGUUCUUUUUAAGACCAUAUUAAAUUUUUAUGUGACAAAAGGAUUGUAAAUAUUCAAUAUGAUCAAUUUCAGGUUUGUUAUAUAACUUAUCAAGGCAUGUCACAGGAAAAUGUUAAAUUAUUGUCAGUUUUUACAGUAACCUGUUGGGACAAAAAUGGUUUGCCAUGCCAACGGUAUAGAGUCAGGCCAUUCUACACUUCCAUGUAGUAUGACCAGACUCUAUACUGAUUGCAGCCUAGUUUUUGCAUUUUCAUUUUCAAAUGAGGGCAAAUCAAUUACAUACAUUUAGCAACUUAAAUUUUAUAAAAUUAUAUAUUCUAGUUUGCAAGAACAAACUUGUUCUGUGGCCCUACCAGACCAGUUUGUAAAUACAUGCAGUCUGAUCUGUGUCUAUGCUGUUGGUAGCUCAAUUACACAAUUA